GAUGAACGCUGGCGGCGUGCCUAAUACAUGCAAGUCGAGCGAACAGACGAGGAGCUUGCUCCUCUGACGUUAGCGGCGGACGGGUGAGUAACACGUGGAUAACCUACCUAUAAGACUGGGAUAACUUCGGGAAACCGGAGCUAAUACCGGAUAAUAUAUUGAACCGCAUGGUUCAAUAGUGAAAGACGGUUUUGCUGUCACUUAUAGAUGGAUCCGCGCCGCAUUAGCUAGUUGGUAAGGUAACGGCUUACCAAGGCAACGAUGCGUAGCCGACCUGAGAGGGGGUCGGGCCAACCUGGACGGUGGACACGGCCGAGAUUCCUAGGGGGGGCGGCAGGAGGAAUGUUUCCGCAAGGGGGGAAAUCUUAACGGGGCAACGCCGCGGAGGUAAAGAGGGUCUGCGGGUCGGAAAACUCGUUAUUGGGGAAAAAAAAAAUUUGAAAGUAACUGUGCCCGUCUUAACGGAACCGAAAAGAAAGGCCCCGCUAAAAUAGGU
rnacentral:rRNA from 1 species